rnacentral:rRNA from 1 species
UACAGAGGGUGCGAGCGUUGUUCGGAAUUAUUGGGCGUAAAGGGCGCGUAGGCGGUGCGGUAAGUCACCUGUGAAAUCUCCUGGCUCAACUGGGAGCUUGCAGGCGAAACUGCCGUGCUAGAGUGUGGGAGAGGUGCGUGGAAUUCCUGGUGUAGCGGUGAAAUGCGUAGAUAUCAGGAGGAACACCUGUGGCGAAAGCGGCGCACUGGACCACAACUGACGCUGAGGCGCGAAAGCUAGGGGAGCAAACAGG